GGUUUUAGGAAUUAACGAUUACGCAUGGGAGAAAGAAAGAUAUUCGUUAAAUAUGUCAACUUAGAUUAUUUCUCGCAUGCUCCCGAUAACUAUGAUAUAACAUCGAUAAAAUGUACUGUUUUAUGCAGAUAGGGUAAAUUUAAGAAUGAACAAAAUGUGUCAAGUUAGGAGAAAGAACUUCAGCUAUGUGUCAAAUUGAAAGAGAGGAAUAACAUUUGACAUUUGAAGAGGAAUAAAUUGUUCUUUAAAUAUACAACAAACAUUGUUAAACUUCACACGCUUCACACUUUUUAAUCGUAAAUCACCUACCACCUUUUCUCUCGUGCCACGGAUCAACGACGGGCAAAUCGUAUGUUCGUAGAAAUCGGUAAGACGUGUCGUCGACAUCCACCGAAAAGUUAGUGCCAACUGGCGAAGGCAUGCCAAUAUAACACAGAAAACUUACCGGAUAAAUUAACGUACAGGAAUAAAAUAUUAAUAUUUUCGUAGCCUCUUAUUUUUGACAUAGAAUUUCGAUUAGAAAAGAGGAGGCACAUGUAACAUCAUGCCUUACCAAGAUAGCUCAAUCUAUGAACACUUCUGUAAAAAAUAUAACAUCUAUGGAUGGUUGAGCUCUUGGUUAGCAUAUAGCGAAUUAACACUCUCAAAGGUAAUGCGGACCACUUCUGCAGGAACGAGCAAUGGACACUCAUACCCAAGCGUGAACUGUGUUAGAAAUCUACACAAUAUUGCAUUUCUUUUAUUUUAAAGGAGGUAGUUCUCCUUUAAUAUGAAAAAGUCACCCUGUAAUCUCAUUUAGUAAUAUUUAAAAAAUGGAACCUAUUCAAGCGCAAGAGCUAAAUAUAUCCCGCGAUUUGAUUGUACAGGUCUUAUUCACUAUUGCAGAAGUGAUUUUCGCUCUAGUCUUCCUUUAUUAGUUUGUACUUCGACGUGACAUGUUCCCCCUCCUUAAAAACUAAAUACUGCAAACUUAAACAGUACUACAGAAAUUUACCAUAUCAAUUUUGAAUUUUGACACGAUUAUGUUAUCCUUAUAUUAUAUUUAAUAUAAGUUUAACCACUUAAUGAAAUUAAUUUUUAGUUAAAAUAACAAUUACAAUGUAUAAAUACAUUGCCAAAAGAAACUUAACAUAAAAUAUGAUUCACAUCAAGAUGUAAUAGCCUCAACAGUUCACCAGGGGAAAAACACAAACGAAACAUACAUUUAAUAGUUAAACUAGUAACUACUUUACUACACUAGACAGCGAGAAAAUCCUAAGACAUGCGAUAUCAUACAAUGAAUCAUUAUUCGUAGAAGUUGCAAAAUUUUUGCAGUUCCUAAACAGUAUUCUUCCUUGUUAAACACGAAUUUCGUAACUUUGCACUGAAUGUCUUGUGAUUUUUACGCUUUUGUAACAAUUAAUUCAAUAUCAUUCCUCCUGCUAUGUUAUUGAUUCCAUUAUUUAUAGCUGGAGAAUAUCUCAAAAUAAAGCAGACCCAUUGCCUACUUUCAACUUUUAUGCUUAACUUACAAUUUUAGAUCUUGGAGCCGAAAUCCAUUAGUCUCUUAACCAUAUACAUGAUGAGAAUCUUUGUUUUAUUAAAUUAAGCUCGUAUGUAUCUCACAUAUAUUAUUGGAACUGUGUUUCCUCUCAUACCAAUAUACUAUUUCUUCUUUUUGAUGGAAUAUUUCAACUCCACAGAUAAAAAUUGAUU